rnacentral:rRNA from 1 species
UACGUAGGGGGCUAGCGUUGUCCGGAAUCAUUGGGCGUAGAGCGCGUGUAGGCGGCCCGGUAAGUCCGCUGUGAAAGUCGGGGGCUCAACCCUCGAAUGCCGGUGGAUACUGUCGGGCUAGAGUACGGAAGAGGCGAGUGGAAUUCCUGGUGUAGCGGUGAAAUGCGCAGAUAUCAGGAGGAACACCAAUUGCGAAGGCAGCUCGCUGGGACGUCACUGACGCUGAGACGCGAAAGCGUGGGGAGCGAACAGG